GAAACUCCACUGUAGAAAAUACAUAAGUGAAAGGUCUAGGCAUGGCCAUGAGGCCAGCCUCUCCAAACGUAAAAUAUGGCAAAAAGCUCUAGAAUAAAUCUUUAAAAGUAGUUUUUUUAAUAAACUAGUAGCCUAAGGUUACAGAAAAUGAGUAACUAAGUGCAGAAAUCUACUUCCGGGGCCACUUGGUGUGUGCUUGGGCUGAGCAUUGAAGCUUUUUCGUGCAUAGGUGUUCCUGGAGUUAAACGCCAGCUUUGGUGCCAGUUUGGGUGUUUAACUCCAAUUCUGGUGCCAGUUUGGGCAUUUUACGCCAAGAUAUUUUAGGUUGACUUUGAACGCCAGUUUGGGCCAUCAAUUCUCGGACAAAGUAUGGACUAUUAUAUAUUGAUGGAAGGUGAAGAAUGUCUACUUUCCAAUGCAAUUGAGAGCGCGCCAAUUGGGCUUUUGUAGCUCCAGAAAAUCCACUUCGAGUGCAGAGAGGUCAGAAUCCAACAGCAUCUACAGUUCUUUUUCAGCUUCUGAAUCAGAUUUUUGCUCAGGUCCCUCAAUUUCAGCCAGAAAAUACCUGAAAUCACAGAAAAAUACUCAAACUCAUAGUAAAGUCCAGAAAUGUGAUUUUUGAAUAAAAACUAAUAAAAAUAUAAUAAAAAGUAAUUAAAACAUACUAAAAACUAUGUAAAAACAAUGCCAAAAGGGUAUAAAUUAUCCGCUCAUCAAGGGACAAUCAUAACAGAGGAGGCAGAGAUAACAAUGGAAACCAGAGGUGGAAUAACAGUAACAACAUCAGAUAGCAGAAUCAGAAUCAGACCUACAAAGCACCUCAUCUAGGGCAUCCUCAAGCAUCUCAGCAGACCCCUCAGAUCACUUAUUCCUCUUCAUCUUCUAAUGAUGAGUUAUUACACUCUAUUGAUCGGAGACAGCAGGCCAUGGAAAAUAACCUUACUUUUACCCUAAAUGGUCUGAACUCUACCUUGCAAGCUCUUGUCUCACAGAUUGGGUCACUAAAUAACUCCACUAACCAACCUUCGAGCUCCAGUGGACUUCCUUCUCAACCCUUACCUAAUCCCAAGGGUGGCAUUAAUGCCAUCACUAUGAGAUUCAGAACAACAUUGCAGAAGAGGAACCAAGAGGAGCCAAGUCCACCAGAACACACCCCAGUUGAAGAUGCAGUGGAAAUAGAAGAUGCUUAAGAAGAAGAGGACACACAGGACAUAGUUGAAGAAGAGGAAACUCAACCAUAGGGUGAAGUACCAAAGGAUGCUGAAACUAUGGAUAACACCCGUCCUGUUCCCUUUCCACAACUCACAAGGAAGCCCAGGAAGCAGAUGGAACUCGAUCCCAAAAUGGUAGAAAUAUUCAAAAAGGUUGAGGUAACCGUUCCCCUUUUUGAGGUUAUUCAACAGGUACUUAAAUAUGCAAAGUUUCUGAAGGAUUUAUGUAUACAUAAGGAUAAAAUUAAUAAAUUAGAAACCACUCCUUUAGGUAGUUCUAUCUCUGCUUUAAUGGGAGGUAUACCUGAAAGCACGUGGAGAACACGAUCACAAUAUGAAGAGUGAAAAUAGGCAUACAGAAAGCAAGAAAGUCGGUGAAUCCAAAAGUAAACAACAAGAGUCAGAAAUGGAUGGAUUUGCGGGAGAAAAAGAGGCUGAAAGACUGAAAGUGCUAGGAAGAGAGGAGAAUGGCGGCGGAAUCCCUGAAUAUACGGUGAAAGAAAAGGGAGAAGAAAUCGUGGAAAAUCAUAAUAGAGAAGGAGGAAAAGCUAUUGACAGAGGAAAAGACAUCAUAGAGGAACUUGGAAAAUUCUAUAUAACCUAUUUGAAAAACGAAGGGCCAAGCACAUGGGCCAACAUGAAACUGGCCCAAAACAAAAAGAGUCUGAAUAUGCAGGAAAGAGAGAAGGAAACUAUAUGGGCCUGGCCAUGAAAAGGAAAUUUGGACACCUAAGGGGAUAUUCCAAACCACAAACCAGAAAGUCCCAAGAUGGAUCAAAACAUCAACACGGUGGGCCUCUGUAACAAGAGAUUGAGCAUGAUAGAAAAGGAAGCAAGUGAUGAAUGUCAAUCUAAGUCCCCUACUAUACAUCAAAUUUUAUUAGCAAGAUGGAAAAAAGGAAAAGAAGUGCCUGAAUAGGAAAGCAGAAGGAUGACAUAAGAUGUUGGAAAAAAUAAGGGUAGCUGGAAAUUUAGAGAAAUGCAGGAAAAGAAUCUAAAAGGCUGCAGUAAAAUAGAAACCCAUAUCUAUAACUCUAUAACAGGCGAGAUGUACUUCGUUGAAUUACCUGAGGAGGAGGGAGAUGAAAAAGAAGAAGACUACGAGAAGAAGAACAUGACAGAGGCUUGGGAACUGGAACUAGCAAAGAACACCAAGGCUAGACUAAAGUUCAAAAGGAAGAGAGAGGAAGAAGACCAAAUGCUGAUAGAAAAUGGUAACUAGAGAGUUGCAAUAGAAGAAGAAGAAAUGAGCUACUACCAGAAAGGAAGAACACUAAUGGAUGGAGCCAUGGGAGCAGAGAAUAGAAUGAUACAACAUACAGAAGCAUUGCAGGGAACGCAGGCAACCAAAUGAUGGCUGAGGAAACAGGCUUUACCAUGCCCCCACCCUCAUCCAUAACCAUUUUAAGCUGGAACUGUCGUGGGUUGGCGGCGCCCGCGACAGUCUUUGAACUAAGAAAUAUGUGCAAACAGAUAUAGCCGACCAUUGUGUUUUUAAUGGAAAUUAAAGCUAAGGAGAAAUGUAUUAGGAGCAUUAAGAAGAAACUCAAGUUUACUAACUACUUUAAUNNNNNNCUCUUUUUUUUUUUUUUUUUGGAAUGAAAGUAUUGAUCUUGAUGUUUACUCUUGGUCCCAUAAUAUUAUUGCUACUGAUAUUGAUGAAAGGAAAUGCAACAAAUGGAAAUAUAAAUUUAUAUAUGGUAGUCCGAAAUUCACUCAAAUAAGGCUUCUAUGGAAGGAAAUGGCUAAAAACUGAGAUAACAUACUAAUCGUACAAGAGGUGUAUCAUAGGUUGGAAAAAAGAAGCGGUGGGUCAGAGAAUAUGGCGAUUACGCUCAACAUGAAUAAAGCUUAAAACCGAAUGGAGUGGAAUUUUAUUGAAGCGGUACUGAAAGCCUUUGGAUUUCAUCCGAACUGGGUCAAGCUCGUUAUGGAGUGCAUCACCUCGACAUCCUACCGGUUUAAAGUGAAUGGGGCUCUAUCAAGAAAAAUAAUUCCUAGUAGAGGGCUCAGAUAGGGUGACCCGUUAUCUCCUUACUUAUUCAUCAUAGCGGUAGAAGUUCUCACUAUUUUGAUGAGUGAAGCACAAGAGCAAGGAAGGAUCAAAGGAUUCAAGACAUCGCCAUUGACACCCACACUCACACACCUACUUUUUGCAGAGGAUUGUAUUAUUUUGGUUGAAGCAAAGAUCAAUGAGGCAUACCAGAUUAUUUCUAUCCUCAACCAAUAUACCGAGGCAUCAGAAUAGAAAAUAAACCUCCAAAAAUCAGGUAACACGUUUGGUAAGCAAGUGGCCUUACAAGUUAGAGUGGACAUAGAGAAAAUUAUGGGCAUGAGAACAUGGGACAACUCAGGAAAAUAUUUGGGUUUUCUGGCGCAUUGGGGGAGGUCGAAGGGAAAAGUCUUAGCUUGGAUAAAAGAGAGGGUAAUAAGCAAACUGAAAGGAUGGAAAGAAAAUUUACUCAAUCAAGCUGGGAAAGAAACCAUCAUCAGUGGUUCAAGCCAUUCUGGCCUAUGCCAUGAAUGUGGUUUUAUUUCCUAAAUGAUUUUGCAAAAAACUAAGUGCCAAAGUUACAAAAUUUUGGUGGAGUUCUAAUAAUAAAGACUCUAGCAUCCAUUGGAAAAGUUGGAGAAAGAUUUGUGAAAGAAAAAGAGGGGGCUUAGGCUUUAAAGAUUUUCAACACUAAAAUAUGGCACUUAUGGCAAAGCAGGCCUGGGGGAUUUUAGAAGAACUAGAAGCAACUUAGGUUAAAAUAAUCAAAGCCAUUUAUUUCCCAAGUGAAAGCUUUUGGGAGGCGAGAGAAAAGGAAAGUGCAUCUUGGAUAUGUAAAAGCAUCAUAUAGGGAAGAGAAGAAAGAGAAGGUGGAUGGUUGGUAAUGGCAGAACUAUCAAUAUUUGGGAGGAUUCCUAGGUAUAUAGCAUGGAAAAGAUUUUCAGAGAGAGAAAUUAGGAGGUAAACUUAGAGGAAGAGCUGAUAAAAUGGGGAGAAGGUUGUGACGAAGUAAAGAUCAAAAGGAAUUUUCUAAGUGAUGUAGCCAACAUGAUUCUUAGAACCUUGAUAAGCUUAAUAUAUAGCUAGAAAGGACACUCUAAAAUGGCCAUAUAAGUCUGAUAGAUGCUACUCGGUUAGGACGGAUUAUCAUAUUGCUAGAAAGGAAGAAAAGGAAUAAAAUCUGAAUGCACCAUCAACAAGUGGAAAAGACAAGGAAGUGUGGGCAGAAAUUUGGAAGCUUUAGGUACUAUAGAAAAUAAAAAUGUUUAUGUAGAUGGCAGCUCUGAAUAUUUUACCAGUGGGGGCCAACCUAUUCAAAAGGAAACUAACAAGGAAUUCCAUCUGCGUUAUUUGCAAUGAGAGUGUUGAAACUACAAAACAUACUCUCUUGCUAUGUCCCUGGACCAGGGCCGCCUGGUUUGGGGCCCAAUACCAACUCAGUCAAUCAACAAAAACUAUCUCUACUUUUAGGAAUUGAUUUCUUAUGGAUGUGAGAAAAUUAGAGAAAGCAAUGACAAGAAUCAAGAUGUAAUGAUAAGUAAACUUGCUUAUUUAUGUUGGGAAUUGAAAAGCAAAAAAUGGAGCUUAUUUUCAGAAUUUAGCAGUAUAUCCUAAAACCACAAUCAGAAGAGCCAUCGCAAUGGAGAAAGAAUUUAGAGUAGCAACCAAAGAGGAACAAACAGCAACAAAUAAUAACAUGGCAAGAAAAAGGAGAGCAGUUACCUGGAAGCCACCACCAGGGGAGUAGAUCAAAGCCAAUGUUGAUGCAACUUUCAGCCGUAAUUUAGGAGGAGCAACAACAACCAUAAUCAGGGACAACAGGGGGAGACUCCUGAUGGGUGCUACGAACAAAAUCAUGGCAUGCUCAAUCCUAACAGCAGAGGCAAUAGCAAUAGAAAUGCAGUCAUCCUAGCUAGGAUCCUUAGCCUAAAAAAAGUGUUAAUUGAAUCGAAUGGUCUUCUCAUGGUACAAGCUCUAAAAUCAAACAACAUAGGAGGCGAAGUAGAAUCCAUUUUAAAAGAUAUUCUAGAUUGGUUGAAAGAAGGAGAGAAUUGUGGAUCACCUGGACUCCCAGGGAGGAAAACCACCUGGCACACAUGGCGGCAGCAAUAGAAGUUGAUCGAAAGUUGGAUAGCAAUUGGCCCGGGAAUCCGCCAAAACCGAUACAGGACAUACUUGGAAAGGAGGCUCGUCUAGCUAGCAGGAUAGGAUCAAUUCUUUGGCGCAGGCUUCAACCACGGAUUAUUAGCAGACAAAUCGAGGAA
rnacentral:lncRNA from 1 species